ACCACGCCCCCCAACCCCGCGCGCCAGCCGGGAGCGGGGCCUGGCGGCCUUGGGGGCCGGCUGAGCUCCCGGCGCGGCGGUCUGAAGAGUUGGCGGACGGGCGGUCGAAGCGCCGAGCCCGGGGCGGGAGACGGCGGCCGCGCUGACCUCUCGGCUUUGCGGGGCUUGGCGCAGAGGCCCGCGGGGUUCACUUCCUUGAAAGUGAAGAAAGUGAAAGAAACCUUUCUUGACUACUCCAUGGGCAAUAACAACCCCACCUACUCUUUUUUCUUAACAGGAAUUAGUUUAUUCAUCAAGGAGCCCCAUCAUAGAGCGUAAUAUCAGCAAUCUGUUUUUCAUCUUAUAAUUACACAAGAAAUCUCUGACAAUGGAAUGCUCACAAGAGACCCAAUCCAGUAUAAUCACACAUAGAUGCAGAUCAGUUAUUAUGUCUUACGUUGUGUUAUCUUUAUUUUUUAAAAGAUCUAGCUACUUUUUGUAGAUUUGACUCAAAAGCAAGUAAGCAUUUAAGAAACAUAU
rnacentral:lncRNA from 1 species